AUUAUCGUCACAAUGGUCGAGAUCUUCAAAGCUCAACAUUAUCAGUGCCAGAACAAGUAAUGUCAUCAAACCAUUGUUCACCCUCAGGUUCUCCUCAUCGAGUAGAUGUUAUAGGAAGGACUAGAUCAUGGUCACCCAGUGUCCCUCCUCCACAAAG
rnacentral:lncRNA from 1 species